rnacentral:misc_RNA from 1 species
AAGGAUCAUUACAGGAGAGAGAGUGGGGGGAGUGGGGGGUGAGAGAGGAUGAGUUGAAAUGGGAGGGAGAUGAAAGGAUUGAACCACGGUUUAUUCCUUCACUCUCUGCAUCACACCUUGGCCAUUCAUUACAAUCACUAUUUUACAACUUAUAACAAUGGAUCUCUGGGCUCUU